rnacentral:lncRNA from 13 species
GGGGUGUUCCUUUUUCCUCGGAUCGAGAAUGGUGCUGUUUAUAUCUUUUUAGUUGGUGCUUAUUUAGCGGAGUUUUAGCUUUGAUCGCGUUCCUGUCCACUUGGGUUCCCGGAUAUGCGGUAGAUUUGGCCGUUUUGCUGUGGUCAAGUCCACUUGGAGUAUGGGAUGUACGGGUCCGAAAACUUUUUAUGCUGUUUCCAGUGAUGUGUGUCCUCCGGAGUUGAUGCAACCUGUCCUGUGGGGGAUACUUCCCUGGGGGGGGGGUCCAGUGUUGAAUAUGGGUGUUUACUUGUGUAAGAGAGGUUUUUGAUCCAGAUGGGUGGUUUUUAGGUGGUUCCUUUUUGGUUGUCCCAUGUAUGUACCUGUGAUGUACAGUUGACAGGCAUUCCUGGUUGAGGCUUGUAGUGUGGGUGGGUCUCCUAUGGGUGGGGGUCUUACCUGGGUUUUUGGUUUGUUUGUGUAUGGUGCAGAGGUGUGAGUGGGGUGGACCUAUUUUAUAAUUUUGUUUAUUUUUGCUCCUAAGUUGGAAAUAUGGUCGUCAGGGUUUCUGUGGGAGGGUAAGAGUCUGUUUCCACUGUGUCAGGGUGGUGAUGUUUUGUUCUUUGGUGAAAAAGAAGGGUGGGGGUUGCCUCUUAAGUAAAAAAAGAGUAGAGGAGGUGAUGUAUAUCUGAAGGUCAGGGGCUGGUUGUAGAACUCUUGGUCUUUUGAUGAAAAAAAAACUUUGUUGAGAAGGCUUGGAGUAGGUGGGUCUUGAUUUCUUCAUCGUUCUAGUUGUUUCUCAGGAGUAAAAGUGUGUGUUGGUGGAGGUCUCAGGAGUGAUGUCCUUCAGAGGUUUGGUAGAGCUAUUUUAGGUUGUAUUGAAUCUAAUGAUUAUUUUUAACCUGUUCACCAUCAAACCAUUUCACAGAGAGGUAUACUGGGUGUAGAAUCAACACCCCUAGAAAAGGCCUGAUUUGAGAUGAUCCCGGGUAAUUUAAAGGGAUAAAAAUUUCUUUGGCUUGCUGCGUCCAGAUCCCCCGUCAGGCAAUGCAGCGGUGACUGGCAAGUGUUUGUUUGUCUAUUUUUGAGUCGGUUGAUCCACUUCCAUCUCUGACACGUGGAAGCCGAAGGGGGGGAAGGGAGGGGUGUGCACUCCACACAUAUGCGCGCGGUCCGGGUGGGUCCGGGCGCGGCCGGCCAAAGUAGUAGGCCCCAUGGUUGCCCACUUGUAGAUUAACCCGUUGGUUGGGUUAAAAGACUGUCUGUCAGUAGGUUUUAGGUUUAGGUAUAGUUUUAAGAGUGUUUAAGGUUAGGGUUAGGUAUAGUUUUUCAAAAAUGGUUAAGGUUAGGGUUAGGGUUAGUAUUUCAGAAUGGUUAAGGUUAGGUUUAGGUUAGGGUUAGGGUUAGGGUUAGGGGUUAGGGUUAGGGGUAGGGUUAGGGUUAGUAUUUCAGAAUGGUUAAGGUUAGGUUUAGGUAGGUCUGUCAACUCAACUUAGGGUUAGGGGUUAGGGUUAGGUUUUAGGGUUAAGGGUUAGGGUUAGGGUUAGGGGUUAGGGUUGGUUAGGGUUAGGGUUAGGGUUUAGGGUUAGGUUUUGAAUAUAAUUGUGUUUCGUUUCAACUAGUUAGUUUUACGGUGCACAGGCCUAUCUCCUGUUUAUCCCUCCCAUUUCUGAUGAUCUAAUAUAAUAGGUGUAGUACUUAAAAAGGCCCGUAGAUGUCCUCCUAGGAUCAUAAAUUAACUCUUUGAGGGCAUGGCAGAUUUACGCCCCCUUUGGAGAAAUUGGGUACCCCUAGUAAACUGAAUUUUUUUUUUUCAAAAAUUGCUAAUAUAUGCAUAUAAUAAUUAUUAUUGGAUAGAAAACACUCUAAAG